rnacentral:ribozyme from 2 species
UUCAGAACUCGGCCACAGGGAUUUUUAUACACCACCUUGUGUCGGUCCCAAGCCCGGAUAAAUGAGGAGGGUCUA